UACGGAGGGUGCAAGCGUUAAUCGGAAUUACUGGGCGUAAAGCGCACGCAGGCGGCUUGUUAAGUCGGAUGUGAAAGCCCCGGGCUCAACCUGGGAAUUGCAUUCGAUACUGGCAAGCUAGAGUAUGUGAGAGGGGGGUAGAAUUCCAAGUGUAGCGGUGAAAUGCGUAGAGAUUUGGAGGAAUACCAGUGGCGAAGGCGGCCCCCUGGCACACUACUGACGCUCAGGUGCGAAAGCGUGGGGAGCAAACAGG
rnacentral:rRNA from 1 species